rnacentral:rRNA from 1 species
AAAUGAAUUGACGGGGGCCCGCACAAGCAGUGGAGUAUGUGGUUUAAUUCGAAGCAACGCGAAGAACCUUACCAGAACUUGACAUCCUAAGAACCUUGCCGAGAGGCAGGGGUGCCUUCGGGAGCUUAGAGACAGGUGGUGCAUGGUUGUCGUCAGCUCGUGUCGUGAGAUGUUGGGUUAAGUCCCGCAACGAGCGCAACCCCUAUGGUUAGUUGCUACGCAAGAGCACUCUAGCCAGACUGCCGUUGACAAAACGGAGGAAGGUGGGGACGACGUCAAAUCAUCAUGCCCUUUAUGUUCUGGGCUACACACGUACUACAAUGGCGAUUAACAACGGGGAGCAAUACAGCGAUGUGGAGCAAAUCCCAAAAAAUCGUCUCAGUUCGGAUUGCAGGCUGAAACUCGCCUGCAUGAAGUCGGAAUUGCUAGUAAUCGCGGAUCAUCAUGCCGCGGUGAAUACGUUCCCGGGCCUUGUACACACCGCCCGU